AGAGUUUGAUCAUGGCUCAGGAUGAACGCUAGCGGCAGGCUUAACACAUGCAAGUCGAGGGGCAGCGCGGGAUAGCAAUAUCCUGGCGGCGACCGGCGGAAGGGUGCGUAACGCGUGAGCGACAUGCCCGUUGCCCGGGGACAACCGGUGGAAACGCCGACUAAUCCCCGAUGGGAUACGAUGCUUCAUGGCAUUGUAUUGAAAGUUACGGCGGCGACGGAUUGGCUCGCGUCCGAUUAGCUUGUUGGCGGGGUAACGGCCCACCAAGGCUACGAUCGGUAGGGGUUCUGAGAGGAAGGCCCCCCACAAUGGGACUGAGACACGGCCCAUACUCCUACGGGAGGCAGCAGUGAGGAAUAUUGGUCAAUGGGCGGAAGCCUGAACCAGCCAUGCCGCGUGCGGGAAGGAGGCCCUAUGGGCUGUGAACCGCUUUUGCCUGGGGGCAAUAAGGGCGUCGCGCACGUCCGAUGAGAGUACCAGGCGAAUAAGCAUCGGCUAACUCCGUGCCAGCAGCCGCGGUAAUACGGGGGAUGCGAGCGUUAUCCGGAUUCAUUGGGUUUAAAGGGCGCGUAGGCUGUGCGUCAAGUCGGGGGUGAAAUUCCGGUGCUCAACACCGGGGCUGCCCUUGAUACUGUCGCGCUGGAGUGCGGAUGCCGCCGGAGGAAUGAGUGGUGUAGCGGUGAAAUGCUUAGAUAUCACUCAGAACACCGAUUGCGAAGGCAUCUGGCGAAUCCGUAACUGACGCUGAGGCACGAAAGCGUGGGGAUAAAACAGGAUUAGAUACCCUGGUAGUCCACACCGUAAACGAUGAUUACUAGGUGUUGGAGGAUUGACCCCUUCAGUGCCGCAGUUAACACAAUAAGUAAUCCACCUGGGGAGUACGACCGCAAGGUUGAAACUCAAAGGAAUUGACGGGGGCCCGCACAAGCAGUGGAGUAUGUGGUUUAAUUCGACGCAACGCGAAGAACCUUACCAAGUCUUGACAUCCCUUGACGAUGCUGGAAACAGUAUUUCUCUUCGGAGCAAGGAGACAGGUGGUGCAUGGUUGUCGUCAGCUCGUGUCGUGAGAUGUUGGGUUAAGUCCCGCAACGAGCGCAACCCUUAUGGUCAGUUACUACGCAAGAGGACUCUGGCCAGACUGCCGUUGACAAAACGGAGGAAGGUGGGGAUGACGUCAAAUCAUCAUGCCCUUUAUGACUUGGGCUACACACGUACUACAAUGGCGUUAAACAGAGAGAAGCAAGACCGCGAGGUGGAGCAAAACUCAGAAACAACGUCCCAGUUCGGACUGCAGGCUGCAACUCGCCUGCACGAAGUCGGAAUUGCUAGUAAUCGUGGAUCAGCAUGCCACGGUGAAUACGUUCCCGGGCCUUGUACACACCGCCCGUCACACCAUGAGAGCCGGGGGGACCCGAAGUCGGUAGUCUAACCGCAAGGAGGACGCCACCGAAGGUAAAACUGGUGAUUGGGGUGAAGUCGUAACAAGGUA
rnacentral:rRNA from 1 species